AUCAUCAGCAUCGACCUGCUUUCUACACCUGCUCCUUCUGUAUGAUCCCUGCCUGAGGGAUUGUAAAUGAGUCUUCGAACCUGCAAAGUUUACAGGUAAGUGUGGGUGAGGGAACUCAUGAAAUCAGAAGAAAAGGCAAGAGAGAGGGCAGGGAGCAGAACAGAACUUCUUUCUACGGUUUUCUGUUCUUUGUUCAGUCAUUAGUGGCAUAAUGUAAGAGCUUACUCCCCCUCCCACCAUCCUGGAAUCUCCUGCAAUUCCAUCUAUGCCCAUGUUUUCAUACUGUGUUGUCACACUUCAUCAGCUGUGUUAUAACUCCAAUAAGUGGCACACAAUGAAUGUUCCAUCCCCCCAAAGCUGGCCCCAAGCAAAUGGCUUCAGAGGGCUUAAUAAUAAAUCGGAGGCAUUCCAAAUGGAUUCUGCAAGCAUUCCAAGUCCCCAGAACCCAGUGUGACUGUUCAUCACUAGAUCUAUCUCUCAGAUGCGGGAGGAAGAUAAACGCCGUGGUGAUGAUGCAGAUGAGUUGGCUCUUGUGACCCGAUGUUCCCAUGAAGAGAGGAAUGCAUGUUGUUAGAACAGGAGGUGCAGCAGCAGCCGCAGCAGCAGCAGAAUUAUAGGCCUCGUCUUCUGCAGGCAUCACUUACCAGCUUAUUACCAUGGAGACAAAACCCUGUCUGUCCUCUGCAUUUUCAAGUGGUUUAUUAACCUUUGACUGUGCACAGAGAUUGGCACAUCUUCUCCACCAACUAAAAGCCACUUAAAGGAAGGAAGGAAGAUAGAAAGAAAGAAAGCCAUCAGACUUUUCUCUCUGAUUGAGACCAAGCUUCUUUACAGCAGGAAGUGGUAAACUCUGGUUUCUAGUGGUAAGAUGUGGUCUGAGGGGUGAAUCCCAAGUGAGUUCACAGCUCUGUGCCUCAGUCGCAUCUUCUGUGAGACGAGUUGUUUGUACAGCAGUUUUAAAAAUAGCUCUAAAAACCAGGAGAUAACUGAAUGUGUGGGCCGUUGUGGGCAGAAAGGGAGAGCUGCAUGAAUACAGCUGUUCUUAACAAUAAUCAAGAACUGUUUGGUAACAUUAACCUAAAUGGAGAGAGGCUCAAAGCGUUUCCACUCAAACCAAGAACAAGACAAGGUUGUCUACUGUCUCCACACCCACUCAGUGUAGUACUAAAAGUCUUAGAGCUAUAAGACAACUGAAGGAGGUCAAGGGGAUGCAGAUAGGAAGGGGCCAAAGUCUCUUUAUCUGAAGAUUAUAUUAUUAUAAAUAUAUAAGUAAUUCCAAAAAUUCUACCAGGGAACUCCUACAGCUGAUAAACACUUCCAUCAAAGGAGCAGUAUACAAAAUUAAUACAGAAAGUCAGUAGCCUUCCCAUAUACAAAUGGCAGAGU
rnacentral:lncRNA from 1 species